rnacentral:rRNA from 1 species
UACGAGGGGGGCAAGCGUUGUUCGGAAUUAUUGGGCGUAAAGGGCGCGUAGGCGGUGCGGUAAGUCACCUGUGAAAACUCUGGGCUCAACUCAGAGCCUGCAGGCGAAACUGCCGUGCUUGAGUGUGGGAGAGGUGCGUGGAAUUCCCGGUGUAGCGGUGAAAUGCGCAGAUAUCAGGAGGAACACCAGUGGCGAAGGCGGUGCUCUGGGCCGGAACUGACGCUGAGGAGCGAAAGCGUGGGGAGCAAACAGG